rnacentral:rRNA from 1 species
GACGAACGCUGGCGGCGUGCUUAACACAUGCAAGUCGAACGGUAAGGCCCCUUCGGGGGUACACGAGUGGCGAACGGGUGAGUAACACGUGAGCAACCUGCCCUUGACUCUGGAAUAACAGUUGGAAACAGCUGCUAAUACUGGAUAUUCAUCGUCUCCUUCCUGGGGGGUGGUGGAAAGCUCCGGCGGUCAGGGAUGGGCUCGCGGCCUAUCAGCUUGUUGGUGAGGUAAUAGCUCACCAAGGCUUCGACGGGUAGCCGGCCUGAGAGGGCGACCGGCCACACUGGGACUGAGAUACGGCCCAGACUCCUACGGGAGGCAGCAGUGGGGAAUAUUGCACAAUGGGCGCAAGCCUGAUGCAGCAACGCCGCGUGCGGGAUGACGGCCUUCGGGUUGUAAACCGCUUUCAGUAGGGACGAAGGGUGACUGACGGUACCUACAGAAGAAGGACCGGCUAACUACGUG